AAUAAUUUCCACACAAAGUAAAAAUAAAUUACGUAACUAUAUAUGGUAUAACAUACCAUAUAAUGUAGCAGUUACAGGAAAAUUAUGCAAGAAAAUAUUUUCAAUCAUAGCAAAUAACUUUCCACCCACUCAUAAAUAUAGUAGUAUUGUAUCCACUAAAACUAUUUGAAUCUCUUAUUCGACUCUCCCCAACAUGAACUGCCUCAUAGCUAAGCAUAAUAAAACCAGAAUUUAAAAAGCUAGAUUAAGGGCAAACAAUAAUAAUCACUCAAACCCCAAUAUUCCAAGAACUAAUAAUGGUAGUAACCAAAUUAAUA